UGUGACAUGAUAAAGAGGAGGACAUUACGCACUAGAGCCAUUAGGUUAUUAGUUCUUGAUGAGUCUGAUGAGAUGCUGAGCAGAGGGUUCAAGGAUCAAAUUUAUGAUGUAUACAGAUAUCUUCCUCCAGAGCUUCAGGUUGUCUUGAUUUCUGCUACCCUUCCUAAUGAAAUUUUGGAGAUGACAAGCAAGUUCAUGACAGAUCCUGUUAAGAUUCUUGUGAAACGUGAUGAAUU
rnacentral:misc_RNA from 1 species